AGCUCACAGAGGGGGCUAUCAGCCACAGCUGACACGGAGCCUUGAGCUUCCCAGCGCUUUUCUUUGGAGAUGAUUUGGCUGCAGCCAUGGCAGGAUGGGGGGAAGGAAAGAAGGGAUGGAGAGCAGUAUUUCUCCAGGCUGCCACAUUGGGAAGGUCCUAUAUUAUGUCUCUCUUUUCUUGACUUUCCGCUCCUUUUGCCAGCAUGAAGGGGCAGGCGCUGCUCCAGAGGUCCAGGUGCACUCACAGGCUGUUGGACUGUCUCGGCUCUAUCUGCUCCUCCCUUGUCACUUGGACCCUCUUGGAGCUUCCUGGAGCCCAUUUACUGCUAAGACUGGACAACAGGAAGACAGCCAGAAGCGGCAGCCAGAGAAAUGCGGUGUAUUCCAAGCAGAUCUGCUCGGCAAUCCUGGCAGAAAGAGUCCCUGCAGAGGGGUGAGGCUAGGCCAGGAAAUAAAAGGAAGGCCCUUC
rnacentral:lncRNA from 1 species